rnacentral:lncRNA from 1 species
AGUGAAGAGAAUGAGCCUGCUUUCUUCCCCAUCCCUCCAGACUCAGUGGUUCCCGUGAGCUUUCUAAGUAGGUCCACAGGGACACCUGUGGCCUACAGGACUCAUGUACAGACCACAGGGACACCUGUGCCCUACAGGACUCAUGUACAGACCACAGGGACACCUGUGCCCUACAGGACUCAUAUUCAGACCACAGGGACACCUGUGCCCUACAGGACUCAUGUACAGACCACAGGGACACCUGUGCCCUACAGGACUCAUGUACAAGCCACAGGGACACCUGUGCCCUACAGGACUCAUGUACAGACCACAGGGACACCUGUGCCCUACAGGACUCAUAUACAGACCACAGGGACACCUGUGCCCUACAGGACUCAUGUACAGACCACAGGGACACCUGUGGCCCUACAGGACUCAUAUACAGACCACAGGGACACCUGUGCCCUACAGGAUGAGUGUAUAGACCACAGGGACACCUGUGCCCUACAGGAUGAGUGUACAGACCACAGGGACACCUGUGCCCUACAGGAUGAGUGUACAGACCACAGGGACACCUGUGCCCUACAGGAUGAGUGUACAGACCACAGGGACAUGUUUGCACUUUUCAAUUGACUGUCCUGUGAACACCUUGUUGUUAGUGUGGGCACAUUAUUUGCCUCCAUAUAUAGUUUGUUUAACCUGGCCCCUGAUGGAAUUUAGUGGUUUUAUUUUGAUAUCAAGUAAAUGUAACUGUCUUACGUAUAAUGGAAUCUCUCAGUCCCUGUUCAGGAGAAAUAGACAGUGAUUGUGAUUCUAAAGGGAAUUAUUUUUCCUUUCCAUAAAACUAAAAUUUAGAGCAUUUAGAUAUUCACUGUUUAUGAAUAACUAUUUAGUCUUUAAAAGACACUGUUUUGUGAUCAAAGAAAAUCAUUGUGCUUCACCUGGGAUCUUGUGCUAGUUAUGUUAGUCAUUGAACCACAUCCCCUACCUAGCUCUGUUUUACUCUAGGGUAGAAAAUUCUGCUUUGAGCUAUGCUUCUUUAAAAAAAAAAAAAAAAA